rnacentral:misc_RNA from 1 species
UUUCCGUAGGUGAACCUGCGGAAGGAUCAUUACCGAGUUAGGGUGUCCCAAGCGCCCGACCUCCAACCCUUUGUCUACCUGACCUUAUUGUUGCUUCGGCAGGCCCGCCGCCCCUCUCACCGGGGGCGGCCGCCGGGGGUGCCCUCACGGGUCCCGGGCCCGCGCCUGUCGACGGCCCUCUUCACAAACUCUUGUUAUCAACCGUGUCGUCUGAGUAAACAAACAAAAUAAAAACAAAACUUUCAACAACGGAUCUCUUGGUUCUGGCAUCGAUGAAGAACGCAGC